UAGGCGUUGACAGGGGUGAGUACUUUUUUAUGCCAUUUCAAUUUCCUCUUUCUAUAAUAGGAACGAUUUCGAAAAUUUUCUGUUUGUGAUUUGUUGUGUUUUUCACUUGUCACAGUGUAUAAACACUAACAUAGCCGUAUUCAGGCACCUAUUGUUGAUUAUUUUAACUAGGUUUUAACUGGGUUAGCGAAACGUUCAUCGGGAAAGUAUUUUAUUAUAUAAAACUACUCUGUAUGUGAUAGAUUUUAUUUACCAGGUUACUUUCGAGUAUAGAUUAUGCAAGUUACGAAUAUUGAGUAGCUUAUUAAAAGGAAAUUUUUGAGGUAGUACCUAUAUGUGUUAUUUAUUCGUCAAUCGUAAGUAAUAAAAGUAACUUAUUUUCAGUGAAUCCAUACAAAUGCGAAGUUUGUCAGAGAGAUUACAAACAUAGAAGCAGUCUACUUCACCAUAAGAGGUACGAAUGUCAAAAUCCCCCACGGUUUGGUUGUUCUGUCGAUGGAUGCCUAUAUAGAAGUAAAGUCAAGAGCAACGUAAGGAAACACAUGUUUAUCAAACAUAAGUACCUCAGUAUAUCUUGCGAUAAAAUGAUAGUAUUAGAUUUGGAACAGUUGGAAAUUUGAACAGUUGUGACGUUAUUGAUUCAAUCAAAACUGACUGAGGUCUGUGGAAAAUAGACUUGAUAUCAUUUGUAAUUGUAUAUACUUGUUAGAUCCAGAAUUUGAAAUAAAUGAAUUAGCACAAAACGGAAUAAAAUAACACAGUUGAAAUUACUUUUUAGAAAUUCAUGUGCCAAUGAAAAUACAGAAACGGAAUAGAAGAGGAAGGUUAAUAAAAAAAAGGUGCAGAGUUUGCCAUGAAAACAAAAUAAGGAAAGAAUCAUUAUAUUACUGUGGCCAGUGUUUUGAACAUCCCGGACUUUGUGUGGAUAUAUGUUUCAACUCUUACCACAAAUCCAAAAGUUAUAUUCAAUAAUAUCUAAUUUCUGUUAUGGAGAUGUCUAAAUUAUAACUAUUAUAUUUUUCAUCCACAGAUUUUAUUUAUGUCCUAUGGAAUGUGGAAAGAAAUACAAACAUAGAUCUUCUCUGUACAACCAUACAAGAUUCGAAUGUGGCAAAGACAAAGCAUUCUCCUGUCCACUGAAUGACUGCACUUAUAAAACUAAAAGGAAGGGGAGCCUCAAAUCACACGUAUUUAUCGUUCAUGGUUUCGAAAAUUCUCAGACAUUCAACUGAAAUUGAACUGAGAGGACUUGUAAAUAUGUUGAAAGAAUUACAUUCGAUAGGGAAACUGCAAUAUUCCAGAGUAUGAAAUGAUUACUUAUAUUGAAGUUGUAAUACAAUACUUAUUGGUAUUUUUUAACGUAAUAUAUUUUUCAAUUUCGUGAGAUAUUCUUAUGGGCGAAUUGGUCAGAAUCGACAGAAUACAAAGAGAACACGAGGCGAUAUUUGAACUCUCUAAACUCUUGAAAUCAGUCUCAUUUGAUCAUAAGUAUAACGAAUAGGGAUAAUUCCCUACCAAUCCACAAGUUCCAAGAUUAUACGGUCUCCCGAAGAUACACAAAGAUGGUACUCCAAUCAGACCAGUGGUAAGCUUUUACAAUACUCAUGUCUCCAUUCUGUCAACAUUUGUCUUACAAGUGAUAAAAAAUGUAACCAACUACAAACCUGCCAAUUCAAAGUCCUUCCAUUUCACUGCAACACCUGUCAACGUCGAUACAAAUACAAGGGUAAUCUAGUCAGACAUCACAAAUACGAAUGUAACCAAGAGAAACAAUUUACUUGUAGCCUGAUUGGGUGCUCCUAUUCGAGCAAAUUAAAAUCAAAUUUGGAUCGUCAUUUCAUAAUCAAACACGUUAGUGAUCCUACACGUCAAUUUGGGUGCACCGAGGAUGGAUGCUCGUAUGCAAGUAAAAUCAAAUCGAAUGUGGUUCGUCAUAUCAGAACACAUCAUGGAAAAAAUAGUUCUGAACUGUUGGAUAAUUAUGUUUACUCCAAAUCUGAUUUGGAUCCAAGUGCAAUCGGCAGGUAGACAUUAAUUUUACUUUAGUGGAAAGUUUGAGUUUCGUGACCACAUUGUAAAUAUUUUAUUCCUCCCUGUAUAUGGGAUGAAUAUUUUUGAGCGAAAUAAAUAGUUCUUUAUUUUUU